UACGAAGGGGGCUAGCGUUGUUCGGAAUUACUGGGCGUAAAGCGCGCGCAGGCGGUUCUCCAAGUCAGUGGUGAAAGCCCGGAGCUCAACUCCGGAACUGCCAUUGAAACUGUUGAACUUGAGGACGAGAGAGGUGAGUGGAAUUCCCAGUGUAGAGGUGAAAUUCGUAGACAUUGGGAAGAACACCGGUGGCGAAGGCGGCUCACUGGCUCGUUUCUGACGCUCAGGCGCGACAGCGUGGGGAUCAAACAGG
rnacentral:rRNA from 1 species